rnacentral:rRNA from 1 species
AUGCCGCCUCGACUGUCGCUCUCCCACGCCGGCAGCCCGCAUGCUGGGCCGUUGGAAUCUUAUGCCCAUGCCCUCCUUGCUUCCUCUUAUAGCAUGCACCCCCCUGCAUGCGUCGACAUAGCUCGUCCCUCCCGCCCAAAAUCUCAACGCCAUGAACCGCGCUUCCGAUGCCUUGCUCUUGACCACCAAGUUCACGAUUGCCGAGACCCCGUCAGGUGUCGCCGAUGCUGGCGUGUGGGCCACACCCAGCAUGGGUGCACGACUAUUUUACCCCCAACCAACCCCUUGCCUCUCCUCAACCCUGCGCCUGCCUUUGCUCCUAACCCUCCUCUCGCUCAACCUGCCCUGAGCCCCCCACCGCCUCCCCAGCCCGCUCCGCCCCCCAUGGCUGAUUUCAUCCCCCUGGAGCUCUCCUCCUCCGAGGAUGAGCGGCCGCCGUCCCCUGCCCAUGCAUCCCCACCACACAUCUUUACCUUCCCGGAGCAGACCGCGGCGACGGAAGUUGACGAUGAGGCCUUUGAGGAGGAGGACCCGGACGAGGUUGAGUUUGAAUCGGGGGAGGAAUCCACUGAUUCGGACGCAACCCAAUCCGCCUUUCUCUCUUCUCCUCCUAGGCACCGUCGGGAUUUCUCCAACAUUUUCAUGCCCUUCACCCCCAUUGAGCAUUUCCAAAACCUCGCAUACGCCAUUGUCAACCCUCCUCAUCCCUCCCCCCAAGCUUGUAUCCGCCGUGCUCUGCAGACCGGGGCUGGAAACCCCCCGGUGAUGAUUCGGGCCUCUUCCUACGGGGAGGGGCUGGUAGUGUUUGGUUCGGCCUAUGAGCGUGAAAUCUCCAUCCUCAAGAGUCCUCUUUCCUGCCCCAUAAACACCGUCAGCCUUGUGCACCACGAAGACACCUAGAAUCGUUUCCUCUUCCGUCUUGGCACGGUCUCUGCCCUUCAUAUCGAGGAUUUCCCUCUCGAGUACUGGUUUACUCCUACCAUCAUCAACUCCAUUGUCCCUUUCGCAUGUCCCAUCCAGAUUGACCCUGUUUGCCUUACCAGUGUGGACUACUCUGCUGUCCUUGUCUCCGUCAAGUCUCGUACCCUCACUGACGUCCCUCAUACCAUCCCGGUUCAUGGCUUCUCCGGCCUCGGUGCAAUUGCUUCCGUCCUCGUCAUCCACUCCCAAGAGCUACUGCUCGACCCCGCUUUCGCGGGCCUCGACUCCAACGACGACAACAACGGUGGCGGUGGCGGGGAUGUCGGCAGCGGGGGAAGCAGCGACUUCCCCGGCGGCAUGGACCCGGACCUGUCGGACCCACCCCCUCCUCUAACCGACGAGGGACACAACGACAAGGUGGUGCAACUGCCGGGCGGCCUCACCAUGAUGGCCAACCACAAGCCUCUGGUUUGUGUCGUGCCGCUCACGGCUCGCCCAAGGUCGGUGCAGAUCAAGCUCUUCAAGGGCUUCUACGACGUGCGUGUCCAGGGCGCGAAUGGCGAACGCGGCUUCUACCGCAUCCUGAUGAGUCCGGGCUCUCCCCGGCUUGUCAUCGCCAACCUGGCAGCCUGCUCCAUCGGCUACCUCGACCGGGUGGCCACGGUCGGGGCUCCCCAUGCCCCCUUCACCGAUGCCGAGGUGGUCUGCCGCGACUUCCGGGGCCGCGCCUUCACCCUGGGCUGCGACAGGGAGGAGGCGGUCAUGCAAGCCAUUGCUCGCUACGAUGCCGGCCUCCCUCCGAUCCCAGGGCCGCAGCCCCUGCUGAUCGCCAACGACGCGCACGACACCAUCCCGCAGCAGCAGCUCCCCCUUUCCCUCCCUCCGAUCGCCAACCUCCCUCCGCGGGCUGCUUCUCCAACGAUCUUCUACACGCGCCGUAGCGCUCGCCUCUGGGAUCCCGAACCGUAUGACGAUGCUGGAAAAGGCCACUCUUUGGAAGGAGAUGAAGCUGGAAGGCAAGAAGAGGGCGGCCCCGCGCAAGGAGCUGCUGCUGCCAGCAGUGGAGCUCAUGGAGCUUGCUGCUGA